UACGUAGGGGGCAAGCGUUGUCCGGAAUCAUUGGGCGUAAAGAGCGUGUAGGCGGCCAGAUAAGUCCGCUGUGAAAUCUCGAGGCUCAACUUCGAGCUGUCGGUGGAAACUGUCUGGCUAGAGUCCGGAAGAGGAGAAUGGAAUUCCUGGUGUAGCGGUGAAAUGCGCAGAUAUCAGGAGGAACGCUAGUGGCGUAGGCGAGACUCUGGACAGUUCCUGACGCUGAGGCACGAAGGCCAGGGGAGCAAACGGG
rnacentral:rRNA from 1 species